rnacentral:rRNA from 1 species
AAUGAACGCUGGCGGCAGGCUUAACACAUGCAAGUCGAGCGGGGUGAUGGUGCUUGCACUAUCACUUAGCGGCGGACGGGUGAGUAAUGCUUAGGAAUCUGCCUAUUAGUGGGGGACAACAUCUCGAAAGGGAUGCUAAUACCGCAUACGUCCUACGGGAGAAAGCAGGGGAUCACUUGUGACCUUGCGCUAAUAGAUGAGCCUAAGUCGGAUUAGCUAGUUGGUGGGGUAAAGGCCUACCAAGGCGACGAUCUGUAGCGGGUCUGAGAGGAUGAGCCGGCACACUGGGACUGAGACACGGCCCAGACUCCUACGGGAGGCAGCAGUGGGGAAUAUUGGACAAUGGGGGGAACCCUGAUCCAGCCAUGCCGCGUGUGGGAAGAAGGCCUUAUGGUUGUAAAGCACUUUAAGCGGGGAGGAGGCUCUUUUGGUUAAUACCCAAGAUGAGUGGACGUUACUCGCAGAAUAAGCACCGGCUAACUCUGUGCCAGCCGCCGCGGUAA